UGCAGCUGAAAUGAGACAUGAACUCUAAAUAGCACCUGCACACAUGAGGGCCCAGUAUGUGUCUGUGUCAAACACCCGUCAGGUCUCAUGGCUUUCCACUGGACACGGGAGAGAAUCUAAGUGCACAUUGUUUUUUUCACUGUGGCACCUAUACCUCAAGAUAGCUCAGUUCAACCUCACAGUUGACAGAGUCUCUAUUUGCACUCCUGCAGGUGACAAGAGCGCUCAGACCCUCCUGAUUCAGAAAUUCCUGCACUCUUUUACCUCCAAGGUCUCCUCCUCCUACCUCCAAGCCCUUGAGAGGCUCAGAGGUAUCAAAGCAGGUCUAUACUGACUCCUCAUGAGGAAGAGAAGAGACUGCACUGUAAAAGCAAGCCUGCUCAGAGCUACCUUUCAAGUGCCUGAUGGGAGAGGAAGAAGCCUGAGCUAAGGGGUUAAGCAGCCACAAGAAGACAGAAGGAAUGGUCUGGCAUCACCAGCAGAGCCUUCUAAAAUAUUUAAAGGACAGAAACAUGCAACCAAUGAACAACGAGCCAAGAACUGUCCCAAGACUUUAAUUACCAUCUCUGUGCUGACACUCCAAAAUCUUUCUUUCCAGCUUCAUCUCCCCUGACCUGAGCUGCAGUCCCACAUACCCAGCAGCCUCCUGACCUUCCCUCCCACCAUAUGCGUCUUUGCUCCCAUCUCCUGCCUCCGAGUCAUCCAAAUCAAAGCCUUCGAGACCUCUCAGGGGCCUUCCCUUCCUUCCUCUGUCACCCAAAGUAAACCUGUUCCUUCAGCGAUUCCUCCCAACAGCCUGUCACACCAGCCGUUACCAGGUCGUCGUUCUUUCGUGUAGAGGAUUUCUAUGGCUUUGAAACUGCCCCUUGCCUCACCCCUCCCAUUUCCAUCUCUUCUUUCAAGGCCCCAUAGUUACAGCUCUUAGGGACAAAUGUGACAAACCCUUUCACCAGCUCCCCCCUCCCUCAGUACUCUUAGGAGGAAAUCAGUCCCCUCAAAAUGACAUACAAAUCCCUUUGGGAUUUGGCCCUUGCUAAUAUCUCUGGUCUCGUUUUCUUGUCUCUGGCCCCUCAUCAUUAAAACCAGACUAAUUUUAAAACUGCACCCCAAAUAUUGGACUUUCUUAUUCUCUAAACACGUGCUCAGGUAAUUCUGAUACAAACAAGCCACUAAGAAAAACGUACUAUGGACUGCACUUUCUUGCUUGCUUCCUGGUCUUUGUGACAGUAUUUCCUUAGCUGGAAUGUCACUUUCUUAUUCCCCCAGCUUACACCUUCCUGCCCCACCCCUGGGCUGCGCUCCUGUACUAUCCUAACACCUUAAACCCACUCCCACUUAACACUUAGAGUCUCCAUCUCUGCACUCCUCUCCCAGGCGGAGUACUUACUACAUGCCACACUUGACUCUAUCUCAUGUCACAGUGAAGUCUGGUGUAGGCACUGCUAUGACCCUAUUCUACAGAACAGGAAACCAAACUUCAGGUCUUCACAACCAAUUUCUGUAAGCAAGUUGGCAGAGUAGGGAUGUGCCAACCAGAGACCAAGCUCUUAAGCACUGAGUUCCAUCAAGGAGGCUCCCUCACUGAACCAAACGGCACUCAACUUUUGCUACUUCAAUACCAAGGCAGCGCCUGUGCACCCUGGGCCGGAGGCAAUGGAAAAUUACAGGAACUGUGACUCCCACCAACGGCUGUAAUCCUCGGAAGUAUCCAGUGGGUGGAAGGAGGCAGCACUGCCUGCGCCUCUGCAUGACUUCAAACAAGCAGUUUUCCUUUCUUAGAACACCUGGGAUGAGGAGGCGGACAACUCUAAGGUGGGAAUAAAAGCUAUAUUUCUUCUUCUAUUCCAGACAUUUCCUUCUAGUGCUCCCUUUCAGUAUUCUGCCCUCAACAGAAGCCCAGGCAGCCUGGCAAAGUAACCGUCACGGCAAUGGCAGGGAGUGUCACCGCCACGCCACACCCUGUGCACCCGUGACUGCAGAGCUCCCUACAGGCUGUGCAGCAUCCCACCCUUCUCGCACCCUUUCCACAGGCCCUAUUCCUCCCUUUCUGUGGUAAGAGAAUUAAAGCCCCGAGCCAUUACAUGAUGUAGCCAAGGGCAUAUAACAUUUAAGUGGGUAGAGCUGGAUUCUUGCCCAGGACACUGCUUCUAGAGUGUAUACAAAUCAUUCCUAACACGUAUUAAGACGUAGAUUACUGGGGCUAGGAGGAUCACUCUACUGGUAUACUGUGUGCCAUGAAAGCAAGACAACCUACUUGCACGGAUCCUCAGCCAGGUAGGACAAAGUAUGCCCGGGGAGGCAGAGGCAAUGAAGAUCCCUCACUGGCUAGAUAAUCUGGCUCAGUGAGUUCCCUGUUCAUUGAGAGAUGGCCUCAAAAAAUAAGUUGGGGAACAACUGAGAACUGAGGCAGCCACUCAAUUGUCAACUUUUGGUUUACAGAUGUUUACUGUCCCCACACAGGUAAAUACACACACACCCCUCACAAUUUGGGGGUGGGAUCUGUGCCAUCUAAGCUUAGAGCAGGUCUUAGAUGGGGCCCAAAUCUGUCCUUUAAACAAGCUCUCAGGUAAUUCUGAUACAAACCAGCCACUAAAAAUAUGUACUAUGGGAAUGCUUUCCCAACCUGAGCUCCCGUGGAACACCAGCUUGUCACAAAACAAUGAGCAGACGUAAUUCAAAACAGAUGGGGUAGGGUGGUCCCUGGUUAAGAAAGUUUUUAGGACUAUGACGCAUUCUAUGACUUUCUGGGAGAUUUGCAGUGAGCAUUACCACGCUGUAUUAACAGAGCAGUUCCCAAGCUUGCUUAACCACAGGAUCCUCUAUCAAGAGCACCCAUUAACAUCUCACAAAACCCAGCAAGUGGGGCGGAGUCUGGGAAGCCAGGCUGUGGUAGUUCUUCCUACUUGGAGCCCACACUGGCCUCUACUCACUUCUGCCAAGUAUGCAAUAAGUGGAAUUCAAAGCUCUAACCCUGGCCUCACCCUCACCAGCUAUGUGAGACCUCUAAGCCUCUCUGGGUUUGCUCCUCAGCUAUAAGUCAAAAUAAUAAGCCCUGCAUGCUUACAGGGUCUUCAUAUGGGCACAAUGGGGGCCCAACUGCUGUGUGGGAGCCAGCAAGAUGACUCAGUGGGUAAAGGGGCUUGCUGAAAGGCCCAAGAAGGUUGAUCCCCAAGACCCACAUGAUAGAGAAAAAAAUAAUUCCUGUGCAUGUGCACAUGUGUAGCCGCCCUCUCCCCACCCCCAACACACACACAAAGUAAAUGUAAGAAAUGCUAUAUAAACCACAUAGGCCUUUAAAUAUCUUUUAGUCUGUGACUAUGGCCAAUCAAAGCUUGGUAAUAACCCAUUUGACUUUGCAUUCCACUUUCCAUACAUGAGACUAAUCUCUUAAACUACUCUGUGAUCAGGACGAUUAUUUUGUCCAAAUUAUUUCGAAGUGAGGGGCCUGCUUUGAAAACUCCUACAAAGUGAUGUUACACUUUACCGUAUAGCAUAGCAUAUGCCUACAGGAAUCACAUCGUUCUUCCUAAUAACUCUGUGAGGGGUGGACUCUUACUACUUGGUCCAUUUUAUGAGAGGAAACUGGAUCAGGAAAAAAAAAAAAAAAAAAAAAAGACUUAAAACUAAUGCGGCAAAGAUCUGGCUCCACUUUUAACUCAAAACUGCAUUUGGCACCUCUAUGUCACCUAAUUCUGGCCACAAAAUAAAUCACACUGAAAUGAUGUUCCCGGCUGGUUCAAGGCAGGCUAGAAAGGAAGGAAGAAGCAGUUGCAGACAACCCAAGUUCUGACCUUGGCUCUGCUGCCUAACUACUUGGUAACUUAGAUAAACUCCAUAUCUUCUCUGGGUUUCACUUUUCCUACGUGUGAAAGGACGCUGGACAACCGUGAGGGGUGUAAUCUCACUUCUGGUACCUCCUACCACUGAUUGUCCCGAGAUUAUUCGGUCGCAGGACGGUGCUGAGAGAGUCGGGCAACUUGUUUUUAUCAAGUUACGCCCAGAAAGACUCCAAGGGAAAAAGAGCUCUAAACGCCUCGAGAGCACAGAGGACUCCGCCCCACGGAGACCUGAGUUAAGCACCCUGGUCCGGUUCAGCCCGGAUCAAUUCACAGCAAAACCCCCAAAGCCAGUUUUGCGCAAUAUAAACAACCCCUCGAGUGGUCCUAUGUGACGUAAAACGAGCGCGACGGACUGGCCCUCCUGUUUCUCGCUCACACAGAGUCUUGUUGAAGUAAACCUCUGCGUGAAAAGGCUGCGGAUCAAGUGGGGAGAAAGAGCCGAGGAUGGAGAGUGGUACCGGAUCUAUAGACAAGCCCAAAUAUUGACGCAGGGGCCACUACAACUCACCUGUCCGUUUGGAUAGCUGGCCAUGGCGGUUAUGACGUCACACAACUGUGGUUCCAGUUGAAAUACUACUACCUUGUGAGUGGGGCAUCCUCAACACCACACCUAAGAUACCUUGUCUUUCAAGAGCAUCCUGGUCAUCAUAUCCUGGUACAUUAAUUAAAUAAUAAAAAGAAGAUAAAUGGUGA